AAAGGACAAGUGAUGAUCUCAUAGUUCAACUUAAAUUAAAAUUGACGAAAACAUUUCGCCCCUAUCUGACGGUCCUUA
rfam:Strigamia maritima strain Brora ctg7180001232893, whole genome shotgun sequence.